AGCGGCGGACGGGUGAGUAACGCGUGGGAAAUUGCCCAGUAGUGGGGGACAACAUUCGGAAACGGAUGCUAAUACCGCAUACGCCCUACGGGGGAAAGCAGGGGAUCUUCGGACCUUGCGCUAUUGGAUAUGCCCGCGUCGGAUUAGCUAGUUGGUGAGGUAAUGGCUCACCAAGGCAACGAUCCGUAGCUGGUCUGAGAGGAUGAUCAGCCACACUGGGACUGAGACACGGCCCAGACUCCUACGGGAGGCAGCAGUGGGGAAUAUUGGACAAUGGGCGGAAGCCUGAUCCAGCCAUGCCGCGUGUGUGAAGAAGGCCCUAGGGUUGUAAAGCACUUUCAGUAGGGAGGAAG
rnacentral:rRNA from 1 species